rnacentral:tRNA from 1 species
GCAAUGGUGGUUCAGUGGUGGAAUUCUCACUUUCUAUGUGGGAGACCUGGGUUCUAUUCCUGCCCAAUGUA